GACGAACGCUGGCGGCGUGCUUAACACAUGCAAGUCGAACGGUAAGGCCCUUCGGGGUACACGAGUGGCGAACGGGUGAGUAACACGUGGGUGAUCUGCCCUGCACUUCGGGAUAAGCCUGGGAAACUGGGUCUAAUACCGGAUAGGACCACUGCCUGCAUGGGUGGUGGUGGAAAGCUUUUGCGGUGUGGGAUGGGCCCGCGGCCUAUCAGCUCGUUGGUGAGGUAGUGGCUCACCAAGGCGACGACGGGUAGCCGGCCUGAGAGGGCGACCGGCCACACUGGGACUGAGACACGGCCCAGACUCCUACGGGAGGCAGCAGUGGGGAAUAUUGCACAAUGGGCGCAAGCCUGAUGCAGCAACGCCGCGUGAGGGAUGACGGCCUUCGGGUUGUAAACCGCUUUCAGCAGGGAAGAAGCCGCAAGGUGACGGUACCUGCAGAAGAAGCACCGGCUAACUACGUGCCAGCCGCCGCCGUAA
rnacentral:rRNA from 1 species